rnacentral:rRNA from 1 species
AGUGAACGCUGGCGGCAGGCCUAACACAUGCAAGUCGAACGGCAGCACAGUAAGCUUUCGCCCUUACGGUUGGCGAGUGGCGGACGGGUGAGGCAUACAUCGCAAUCCACUAUUUCGUGGGGGACAACGUAGGGCCACUUACGCUACCACCGCAUACGUCCUACGGGUUAAUGCAGUGGUUCUUCGCACUUUUCGUGUCUCUAUUAGCCGAAGCCGGAUUAGCUAGUUGGGAUGGUAAGGGCCCACCAAGGCAACGAUACGUAGCUGGUCUGAGAGGAUGAUCAGCCACACUGGAACUGAGACACGGUCCAGACUCCUACGGGAGGCAGCAGUGGGGAAUAUUGGGCAAUGGGCGCAAGCCUGAUGCAGCCAUGCCGCGUGAGUGAUGAAGGCCUUCGGGUUGUAAAACCCUUUUGUUGGGGAAGAAAAGCAGCGGGUUAAUACACGGCUGUUCUGACGGUACCCAAUGAAUAAGCACCGGCUAACUACGUG